GUGCAUAUGAUGAGUUUACUCGGAUUCCCCUUCAAGACUUCCUGGCUGAUGUGAAACCGAGAUUCUGAUGCA